rnacentral:rRNA from 1 species
AUUGAACGCUGGCGGCAGGCUUAACACAUGCAAGUCGAGCGAGCGGCGGACGGGUGAGUAAUGUCUGGGAAACUGCCUGAUGGAGGGGGAUAACUACUGGAAACGGUAGCUAAUACCGCAUACCAUCAGAUGUGCCCAGAGGGGAUUAGCUAGUAGGUGGGGUAAUGGCUCACCUAGGCGACGAUCCCUAGCUGGUGUGAGAGGAUUACAAGCAAAACUGGAACUGAGACAAGGUCCAGACGACUACGGGAGGCAGCAGUGGGGAAGAUUGCACAAUGGGGGCAAGCCUGAUGCAGCCAUGCAGCGUGUGUGAAGAAGGCAUUAGGGUUGUAAAGCACUUUAAGCGAGGAGGCGUUACUCGCAGAAGAAGCACCGGCUAACUCCGUGCCAGCAGACGCGGUAAUAC